ensembl:lncRNA
AUGGGCUUAGUCGCCUGGAUGCAUGGGGGUCUUAGUUCCCUGACCAGGGAUCAAACCCGUGUCCCCUGCAUCGAAAGGCAGAUUCUUAACCACUGGACCACCAGGGAAGUCCCAGAGAGACUGUUCUCAGGUUAUAAUUUUCACUUUGGCUUGAAUAAAGAUUUUCAUUUCUUUCUUAGAUCAACUGAUGAAGCUUUUCAUCAUAACGAUAAUGUCGGCAACCGCAAACUACUGGAGUCUGCGAAGUGCUGUGCACGUUACCCUGGAGGCCUGGCAGCAGGGUUGGGGGCUGUCAGCUGUUUCACAGGCCCCACCUCAGAUCCAUGCCAGCGGGUAUCAGGAGGAGAAGCCCUGGAGGAACUGGAGGAAGCCAACUGGAGCCUCAGACACGCGAGCGGCUGUGUCCCACUGGGGCGGCAGCAGUGGCCUCUGGAGGAACCUCCAGCUCCUCCUCCGCCACCAGCAUAGCGUCCAGACAGAAGCCAGAACUACCCAUGAAACAUCACGCAGUGUGACAUAACUGGGUCACCGAGUGGUCAGAUAUUUGGUCCGACUUUAUUCUGGGUGUUUCUGGGUGAGAACAGGUGAUUCUGUGCACCUCUCCAGGCGGGCCUUGUCUGAUCAGCGGAGGGCUGCGUCCGGGCACCCACCUGGCUCCUGCCCACUUUCUUCCCGUUCUUCUUGCUGACCAACACGUGUCUUCCGGGCUGGCAGGGAUGUGGUCUGUACCAAGAAUACUGCCCGGCUCAGAGCAAGGGAAGCCACACCUGAGAGGGCAACAGGCAGGAAGGCCAGGGGUCUCCAAACCCAGGAGACAGGCUGCAAGUGUCAGACACUUUUUCUCUCUCUCUUAAGCGGCAGGAGGAAACAAGUGUUAGCUUUUCUCCCUUCUCUAUCCAAAUCUAAAGAGGCUUCUUUUAAAAUUCUGUGUUGCCAUGAUGACACCUGGUUCCACCUGAACUUUUCUCAAACCUGGAGCUAAACAAUGCGUUUUUCUUGUGGAAACGUUUGUCUUAAGCUAUGUUAAUGAACUGUGUAUUUACCCUAGACUCUGUCUUCAAAUCGGUUCUGCCUGAGACUCAGGACCAACUGACAAACCGGCGUUUGUACUCAUGCACUGCUCUCGUAAGCUAUGUUAGUGAGACUGCGUUUGCUUGGAAACUUGCCUUUCUUCAAGAUUCACGUUAAUCGUCUUAUGGCUCAGGAUGACCCACCUGGUGCCAAUGUUAUCUCAAAAUGCAUGUGUGGGUGAGGGGUCUGGUGCCCUUCUCUGAGUUUUGAGACUUUUCCUUUUUCUAAUUAGCAGACCGCUAGUAGCUAUAUAACAUUCAGCUAAAGACUGGCCCGGGGCACUCUUGCGGCCCCCUUCUGAUGUCUAUGUCAGAAGCUUUCUCUAUCUCUUUUAUACUUUAAUAAAACUUUAUUACACAGAAGCUCUGAGCGAUCA